UCUAAGCAUAAGCCUAAAAACGGUGAAGCCGCGAAUAGCUCAUUACAACAGCCAUAGUUUAUUGGAUCUUGACUUCCUACUUGGAUACCUGUGGUAAUUCUAGAGCUAAUACACGCACCCAAGCUCCAACCUCCGGGCGGAGCGCAUUUAUUAGAACAAAACCAAUCGGGCUCGCCCGUAAUUUGGUGAAUCUGAAUAACUCAGCUGAUCGCAUGGUCCUCGUACCAGCGACGUAUCUUUCAAGUGUCUGCCUUAUCAACUUUCGAUGGUAGUUUAUGUGCCUACCAUGGUUGUAACGGGUAACGGAGAACAAGGGUUCGAUUCCGGAGAGGGAGCCUGAGAAACGGCUACCACAUCUAAGGAAGGCAGCAGGCGCGUAAAUUACCCAAUCGCGAUUCGCGGAGGUAGUGACAAGAAAUAACGGACCGAAGCCUAUGUUUCGGGAUUGCAAUGAGUAGAAUUUAAACCCCUUUACGAGGAUCAAUUGGAGGGCAAGUCUGGUGCCAG
rnacentral:rRNA from 1 species